rfam:Caenorhabditis brenneri strain PB2801 C_brenneri-6.0.1_Cont34.27, whole genome shotgun sequence.
UCUAUUCGGCCGGAUCGGACCUAUGCUGGUUUUCACCGCGGUUAUACUUCUAACAAUAAUUAUCACCGGGUUAAAACUUGCAGAGGUCCGGUCCGGCCUU